rnacentral:rRNA from 1 species
GAUGAACGCUGGCGGCGUGCCUAAUACAUGCAAGUCGAGCGAACAGAUGAGGCUCUUGCUCCUCUGACGUUAGCGGCGGACGGGUGAGUAACACGUGGAUAACCUACCUAUAAGACUGGGAUAACUUCGGGAAACCGGAGCUAAUACCGGAUAAUAUAUUGAACCGCAUGGUUCAAUAGUGAAAGACGGUUUUGCUGUCACUUAUAGAUGGAUCCGCGCCGCAUUAGCUAGUUGGUAAGGUAACGGCUUACCAAGGCGACGAUGCGUAGCCGACCUGAGAGGGUGAUCGGCCACACGAGAACGGAGACACGGACCAGACGCCUGCGGGAGGCAGCAGUAGGGAAUCUGCCGCAAUGGGCGAAAGUCUGACAGAGCGACGCCGCGUGAGUGAUGAAGGUCUUGGGAGCGUAAAACUCUGUUAUGAGGGAAGAACAAAUGUGUAAGUAACUAUGCACGUCUUGACGGUACCUAGUCAGAAAGCCACGGCUAACUACGUG